rnacentral:rRNA from 1 species
AUUGAACGCUGGCGGCAUGCCUUACACAUGCAAGUCGAACGGCAGCAUGGAAGAGCUUGCUCUUCUGAUGGCGAGUGGCGAACGGGUGAGUAAAGCAUCGGAACGUACCGUGUAGUGGGGGAUAACGUAGCGAAAGUUACGCUAAUACCGCAUACGCACUGAGGUGGAAAGCAGGGGAUCGCAAGACCUUGCGCUAUACGAGCGGCCGAUGUCAGAUUAGCUAGUUGGUAGGGUAAAGGCCUACCAAGGCGACGAUCUGUAGCGGGUCUGAGAGGAUGAUCCGCCACACUGGGACUGGGACACGGCCCAGACUCCUACGGGAGGCAGCAGUGGGGAAUUUUGGACAAUGGGCGAAAGCCUGAUCCAGCCAUGCCGCGUGAGUGAAGAAGGCCUUCGGGUUGUAAAGCUCUUUCGGCUGGGAAGAAAUCGCACAGGCUAAUACUCUGUGUGGAUGACGGUACCAGCACAAGAAGCACCGGCUAACUACGUGCCAGCCGCCGCCGUAA